rnacentral:rRNA from 1 species
AACGAACGUUGGCGGCGUGGAUUAGGCAUGCAAGUCGAGGGAAUCCCAGCAAUGGGGGAACCGGCGUAAGGGGCAGUAAGGCAUGGGUACCUACCCUGAAGUUCGAGAUAGCCAUCAGAGAUGGUGGGUAAUACCGGAUGAUGUCGUGAGACCAAAGAUUUAUCGCUUUGGGAGGGGCCCAUGUGAUAUUAGCUAGUUGGUGAGGUAACGGCCCACCAAGGCAAAGAUGUCUAGCGGGUAUGAGAGUACGACCCGCGCCACUCGCACUGAGACACUGGCGAGACACCUACGGGUGGCUGCAGUCGAGGAUCUUCGUCAAUGGGCGAAAGCCUGAACGAGCGACGCCGCGUGCGCGAUGAAGGCCUUCGGGUUGUAAAGCGCUUUAGUGGGGGAGAAAAGGGUAAAACCUUGAUCUAUCCCAAAAAUAAGCUCGGGCUAAGUUCGUGCCAGCAGCCGCAGUAAAAC